rnacentral:rRNA from 1 species
UACGAAGGGGGCUAGCGUUGCUCGGAAUUACUGGGCGUAAAGGGCGCGUAGGCGGACAUUUAAGUCAGGGGUGAAAUCCCGGGGCUCAACCUCGGAAUUGCCUUUGAUACUGGGUGUCUUGAGUAUGAGAGAGGUAUGUGGAACUCCGAGUGUAGAGGUGAAAUUCGUAGAUAUUCGGAAGAACACCAGUGGCGAAGGCGACAUACUGGCUCAUUACUGACGCUGAGGCUCGAAAGCGUGGGGAGCAAACAGG